rnacentral:misc_RNA from 1 species
UCUCCGUUGGUGAACCAGCGGAGGGAUCAUUAAAGAGUUGCAAAACUCCCAAAACCAUCGCGAACCUACCUCACCGUUGCUUCGGCGGGAGGCCGUGAGCCCUAGCCUCUAAGGCGGGGCGCCGCGGCCCCCGGCCCCACCCGGGGCGCCCGCCGGAGGUACCAAACCACACUGUUUUUUUAGGCAUCUCUGAGUACAAAACAAAAUAAGUCAAAACUUUCAACAACGGAUCUCUUGGCUCUGGCAUCGAUGAAGAACGCAGC